ACCGGCGGCUCGAGUGGAGGGGAAUAAAACUGGGAUUAAAGCGUUCGUAGCUGGCUUGUUAAGUCUCUGGGGAAAUCUUCCGGCUCAACCGGAAGGCGUCUCAGGGAUACUGGCAGGCUAGGGACCGGAAGAGGUGAGAGGUACUCCAGGGGUAGGAGUGAAAUCCUGUAAUCCUUGGGGGACCACCUGUGGCGAAGGCGUCUCACCAGGACGGCUCCGACAGUGAGGAACGGAAGCUGGGGGAGCAAACCG
rnacentral:rRNA from 1 species